GACGAACGCUGGCGGCGUGCUUAACACAUGCAAGUCGAACGGAAAGCCCCUGCUUUUGUGGGGUGCUCGAGUGGCGAACGGGUGAGUAACACGUGAGUAACCUGCCCUUGACUUUGGGAUAACUUCAGGAAACUGGGGCUAAUACCGGAUAGGAGCUCCUGCUGCAUGGUGGGGGUUGGAAAGUUUCGGCGGUUGGGGAUGGACUCGCGGCUUAUCAGCUUGUUGGUGGGGUAGUGGCUUACCAAGGCUUUGACGGGUAGCCGGCCUGAGAGGGUGACCGGCCACAUUGGGACUGAGAUACGGCCCAGACUCCUACGGGAGGCAGCAGUGGGGAAUAUUGCACAAUGGGCGGAAGCCUGAUGCAGCAACGCCGCGUGCGGGAUGACGGCCUUCGGGUUGUAAACCGCUUUCGCCUGUGACGAAGCGUGAGUGACGGUAAUGGGUAAAGAAGCACCGGCUAACUACGUG
rnacentral:rRNA from 1 species